AUGACAGCCAUCUUAACUCAUUUGACAUCACAUUAUUCCAUGGACCACUUACAGGUGUGAGAUAUCAUUGUUCAUGGAUGGGAACGUUUAAAAUUGGUUAUUUGUCCAUAACUAAUCCAAAAGCAAAAUUCAUUAUUUUCCAAAUAUUGUUAAAAAUUAUAUUUACAUCUGAUGGGCCAUGUUUAGUGUGACUUUGGGUGAGCAUUUAAAGCAAGGCAAGAGCUUAAGUACUUAAAUCAUUUUGUAUUUUUGUAAUUCUUGUAUUGUUGUCCUAUUUCUUCCUCAACAGUACAAUGUAAAAUCCCUUUGCAACAAAACGGAAUUAACCCUUUAAGAACCACACAUCACUUCAGUGAUCUGAUAUAUUCCUAUGGUCCCUGAAGUGGUGAAUGAACCAUUUGUCAGUUUGACAAUGUAACCAUUUAAAUGCCACUCAAAUAGAAUAAUAGUACAUUUUGAGACAUAACAUCUGCGAUAGAAUGAUGCAAAUGUCCCUGAAGUUAGAAGCGUUUGCAGAAAUUAAAUUAUUUAGUAGGUUUAAACAGGGCCUUCCAUUUUCACUUGGAUAAUGUAUAAAUGACAAUACAUUAAAUUCAUCAUGUUUAUUAAGCGCCUGGAUGUAGAGUUGUAAAAAUAAAACCUAUUCAAUAAUAAAGAUAAACAAACACUGCCAACCCUGUUCAGCUAUAGUUUUGCUAAUCUGAUCAAUAAUUCUAUUGACCUUCCUAUUGGAAAAACCAAGGGCAGCAGAUCGAGACAUAUUAAAUGUAUACUGCAGAUAGAAGGAUGGUGUCUGGUUUCAGCGACAAGAGAUGGUAGCUAUAUUUUAUUCGUAAUGUAUUCUAUUUCUUUUUACCGUUAACAAUAACAAGUGUAUUUUAGCAGAACAUAAAGAAUACCUGAUGCUGUGCACUUAAAGUCACCCAUAUAAGUAGAAACAAUGGGAGGGACCAAACUCCAGUCAUUUCCAAGCCUGCUUAGGGAAGGCUCAUCCUCACAGGGGACUGGGGUUGAGAGGUGAUUGGCUGAAGUCCUAGGACACAGCAGUGAUUGGAUCAAAGGAUUGAGCCACAUCAGUGAUGAUUUAAUUUUAUUCUCUGAAAUUCCUAUAUGCAGGGCUGGAGAAGUGAAGCAAGGAGACUCACUGCUGUACACCUGACAAAAGGGGAAAAAAAAAAACUAACUUGAACUGCUUUUGGUAUUCAGCCUGACAGUACAAAUGAGGACCAUUAAUACACCUUUAUGAAGAAAGUGAAAAAAAGAAAUUAAAGUGUAAUCAGCGUGCAAGUGAGAUCCCCGUUUUUACAUGCGACAGGGUUGAAAAUAUGUUAAGAUGGACACUUUUCACAGGUAAGAACUUUCAUGCAAUUAUUUUAUAUUGGUAAAUAAAAGAUAGAAAUAGCUAUAUUUUAUUCAAUGUAUUUAAAAAUUAUUAUUUUUUUUAUCCAUCUCAGACAGUCAUGUAAAGGUGAGGUCAGGUCGAAAGGAUUAAUAUAAAGACAGGCUUAAGAAAUAAACUUAAGUGACUUGUCCUUAAGUCAUUAGAUGACAGAAAAGAAACAAAAACAAACAUUAAACAAAGGAGAAGUUCUGUUUUCGUAAAGUAACAUUUUAUUAAAUACGCACACAAAAAAAACCCAACCAACUAUUAAAAUAACUAUGGUACGAUAGCGAGGUGUUGAUAAUAUAGAAUACUGAUUAGAACAUAUAUUUUAUCUUUGCCCCUGUAGUGACCUACUCAGCUCAGUACAGUGUGAGUUGUAUUACAUGACGGCACUGAAAAGUGUGACUAAUUACAAAUGGUGUGAGGAGGGGAUGAGACGAUUUAUAAGUGCAAUAUAGCUUUAAAAUCUACUUAACAAGAUAUUGUCAGGUUUCAGAAUGUUCAUAUUAAACACUCUACAGAGAACGGUNNNNNNNNNNNNNNNNNNNNNNNNNNNNNNNNNNNNNNNNNNNNNNNNNNNNNNNNNNNNNNNNNNNNNNNNNNNNNNNNNNNNNNNNNNNNNNNNNNNNGAUCUAUAAUAAGUUAACAUCACAUUAUGUAACAAGGAAGUGUGCAAUUAGGUUUUUAAUUUUCAAUUACAUAUAGGGGGUUUAAUGUUAAUAUUACAAAAUAUAAAGGUACUUAGGCUAUCACGUUUAGAUGGAUGAAAUAUUGAAAUGAUCCUGCUUGGAAAUAAAAUCGGAAUAUGCAAUAGAUACUAAAAGGAGUGCAUUUAUCACUGUGCUAUCUUACAAGAGAGUUAGACCAUUUCUUUUUGUUCAUAUUUUUUUCUUUGUAUUAAUCACUAUAGAGCCACAUGUAAAAGUAUAUUCACUCAAACAGGAACUGUGGAAAAAUAAACAAGAGAAUUGCAUUGUGUUUGGAAAAAAAGCUGAAUGGGGUGAAAAAACUAAACUUUGCUAUUUUCCAAAAAUGCAAUUUCCUUAUGUAUUCUCCAAAAUUUGCAGCUUAGUGAAUAACCACAAAUAAUGUUAAUUUACUCUAAUGUGAUCAUUUGCUAAGGAAUUGAUUAGAAAUUGCACUCUUUUGGGCAAAAUAGCAUAAUCGGAAAUAUUCUCCAUCGCGUCUUUUUUCCAGGUUUCCUGUUUUGGCCUUUAACUUGCAAUCCCCUCAUCAAUUAAUGGGAUUUCACAUUUUAAUUAAUAACUCUAUAACUUUUUUUUUUUUUUUUUAAAACCCUAAACUGUCUUUUACACCAUCUCCUUUAAAAUCCUCAUUACCACAGUGCAACACAAAAACGCGAGGAAAGAGUAACUUGUUUUUAUUUUCUUAUUUAUUGUCUUUAUUAUUAGUAGACAUCACAGUAAUAAACACUAUAGUCAAUAAACUGCAAAAUGCCCAGAAAAUAGCUCAGCGGGACACAUUUCCUAGAUCUUUACAUAGCAUUUGUCUGUCAGCUCUGCACAAUUUCAAUUUAGUGAACGACAGAAAAUCAUGAAAUAGUUAUUUGCUAUGAAACGGACACCCAAACUACAAAAAAUGCAGGCCAAACUAGCCAAAGUGGAAAAAAAAUAGAAUUGGAGAAUUUUUCUAAUUUAGCAGCAAAUACAAGGUUUUUUCGAACAUAUAUUUCUAUGAACAGCUAAGAUACUGUGCAGAACCCUCCGACUCCUAGGCCUCUGGUAGAGACAUCUGGUAGAGGACCCGAGAAUGAGGAAUAAAUACACCACCAGGAGGGGUGAAAAAAAAAUAAUCUCUUUUAUAUAUCCUAUCCUUUAAAAAUAAGUAUCCCAAAAAAAUACAUAAAAUUAAGUCUCUAUCCUGGAGACUGUAUAUAUGCCUAUGUCUGAAUUGAGCUCUUCCGUUUUAAUGCUUAAGAGCAAUUUGAUUGGCUGGAACAGCACAGCCGAUCACUUGCUUCAUUCCUUUACCACAAGAUGCAUCUGAUAUAGUCUGUUAGCCUUGAAAUAUUUAUUUAUUUGCCUUCUGCAAAUGGGUUUUUGGAAUAGUAUAUGAUCGUUUGCUAGUCCCACCAUGUGGAAGGGGGUCCGUAGGUCUUCGGAAAUCUUUUUGGUCUCCACAUUUUGAAUCAAAUUUUAGGAAUGGAGAGGCUUUUAUUUAUUUUGCAUUAUCAUUGUAAUACAGUUUGCAGUCUUUUUCAUUAAAGAUGUUCAAUAGUGAGGAAAGUCAGCGUUUGAUUAGUAUCCAACUUGUUUUACUUGCAAUAGCUAGUCAUUGCUCCAAACUAGAGCUAACCGGAGCACUGUCUGCUGUGAUGGGUGACACUGCAUUCAACUUGUCUUUAGUAAAUAGAAGGUUUUACUUCAGUAUGGCUUUUACACACCCGGUUUAUUUUAUUCAGGUUUUAUUUGUCAUCUAUGAGCAACCAAACCAAAUGGAACUCUCAACUUUCUUGAAUAGGAUUCUCCUAUAUCUCCAUUUUAACCAGAAACAGUUUUUAAUAUGUAACAGGCUCCGAUCGAGCAUAGUGUAGAUGGCAGUGUAUGGCCUUCGUUUUACCCAGUACAGCCUUACACAGUGCAUUUAUAUAAGCAACGUUUUGAUGUAUUCAUUGAAAAAGUGUUCAAUGUGUUCUCUGCUAGGGCCUUACAUUAACGAAAUAACAAUAUAUGUUUUGCACAUUUAUCUUUUAGUUUUGGCUGCUUGUGGUUAGCAAGCAAACUUUCAUGAAUUAUUAUGCCAAUGCAAUUGGUCCCUAUGUUAUCAGUGCAUUAGUUUUAAAAUACACAUAAUGGUUUUGACUUUUUAUUUAUCCCUUUGCACAAUCUUGAUAUUCUGAUACCUGGUUCACCUUAGAAUAUGGCUGAGCUCAGGCCUGGUCAGUACUCUUAUUAUGGACAUGCGCAUUAGUUAUCAAGUGCUGUUACAUACACACACACACACACACACACACACACACAUAUAUAUAUAUAUAUAUAUCUCCUUUACAUAUGCAAAAGAGAAAGCGAGGGAAUGAAGAUAAUCUAAAAUGAUGAUGAAGUGUGUGUUACAGGAAAUAGUGCCAUCUGAGGUUUCUAGAACCAUCAUAUUGAACCAUAUGAUCAAAAGCAGCAUUGUUUUUUCAAAUCUGCUUUACCAUUACAAAUAUUUGGUUAUAUCAUUUUGUUCUUGUAAUUAUUCGCAUGGAUUAAUGUAAUUCUCUCCUAAUUGAUCUACCCAGAAGCCGUACUGCCCACUACAAUCUGUAAUAAAUGCUACAGCCAGGCUGAUUUUUCUCUACUGUCGCUCCUCUCAUUCCUAACCCCUCUGACAAUCCUUGCAUUGGCUUUCUGUAUCCUAUAGAUGUCAAUUUAAAAUACUAACCUUUUCUUUUUUUACUAUGUGCAAAUGGGUUAUGUUAUAUUGAUAAAGAUCUUAACAACUCUAGCCCUGUUACAUUUCUUCACCGAUUCGUAGGUAUGCCCCUUCUGUCUCUCUGCUCUGCUGGUGACCUUCUCCAGUCUGCUGCUCGCACCCUUACAGCUAAUUCAUGCUUGCAGGACUUCUCGCAGGCGGCUCCUUUCCUUUGGAACAGCCUGUCUACCCCCAUCAGAAUCUCCCCUAGUCUUCAAUCAUUUAAGAAUUCUCUCAAAAUCUAUCAUUUCAGAAAUGCUUAUGGCUUCCCAGAGUAACUUCUAUCUUACAAAUCUGCCUCUUUCUCCUAACGGGCCCCACUCCACUCUCACCUGCAGUUCUGCUAUUUUUCCACCUUGUUGUUUGCUGUCCCCCUUGAUUCCUUUCCUAUUGUAUCUUUUUACUGCAAUACUGUAGACUGCAAGCUCGUCUGAGCAGGGUUCUCAUCAACCUACUGUUCCUCUAACAUUUUGUCAUUGUCUCAUUUAUUGUUAAAUUGUCCCCUUUUUAUAAUAUUAUAUAGUGCUGCGGAACAAGUUGGCACUAUAUAAAUACCAAUAUUUAAUAAUAAUAUAGAGUUUGAUUAGAAUUAGAUCUAGGAUCACUUUAAUCUCAUGACAACAAUGUUACAUUUAUUAUAUAUCCUGGUUUACGUGACAUGUACUCAAACUCAGGCCCAUUUGAUUUACUAAUGCACCAGGAGAGAAUCAAGGGAUUAGGAAUUACACUAUUUCCAUCUAGGGGAGAUGAAGGGAAAGAGACAUAAGUGAGGAGGAGAGAUUUUGAGACCUAUACAAUGGAGGGGGAGGUGAGGAGAUGCACAUGUGGAAAGGCCACAGCAGAAUGGCAGAUGUGCUAAAUGAGGAGAAAAAAUGUUAAAUAAAUACAUGUAGCAGAGAGGGCAAUGGAAUAGUAUGUAGACAUGGGUUUACAUAGACCAUUAAGUAGACCAGGGAAUACCAAAACAGAUGCACUUGCAUGCAUACACUAUACUCAAAUGCUAUUCACACUAAUCUCCAUACAAUACAUGCCUUCAUUCACACACAAAUACACCCCUUCAUUCACAUACACUGACAUCUUGCACAAAUACACCUGUUCUCUCACAUACACUGACAUACUGCACUAAUACACCCCCAUUUACACACACACACACACACACCACCUUCUACACCCUGCAAUCACACACACAGGCAUUCCACACAUACAACCCUUCAUUCACACACAAUCUCUCCACACAAAUACAUCACUAUACUUUAAGCAUCCGCAUAUUAACACAAUAACACUCUGAACAAAUACAUAUCUGCAUUUGCACCUAGUACUGACAAAAAUAACCCCAGUGCAUUUUCUGUAUGACUGUGAGCAAAUAAAGCUAUAGAGGGUCACUUUUAGCACAUAGACCACUUCACCUCAUUUAAGUGGUCUAGGUGCAAUGUACCUGCCCCCUUAGUCCUGAAAUGACAGCCACUAGAGGCACUUCCUGUUUUGUAGUAGACUUUAAGUCUCUUAAAUGACGCUGGACAUGAUCACGCUUUGCAUGAGAAGAUUCAGUGUCAAUGAAAUCCCCAUUGAUUCAAUGCAGGUGGAGGAAGAUUGGCGCUGUAAUCAGGUGAGUAAAUAAAGUAUUUUUAACCCUGUAUGUGUCACAGGGAGGAGGGUUGGGGACCAGAGGGCAGUUGUUAAUUAGUUAGUGUUUACUGUAUGGCUGAGCAUGCGUCUGUCUUACAUUGUAGUUAUAAGUAAACUGUAUUUACUAGGCAUCUAGCAAUAGCUGUAUUAUUAUAUAGUUUCCCAUGCUGUUUUUUUUAAUAUUGUGUCCAUCCCAGAAUUUUUAAAUUCAGUUUUCAGAUUCUAAAUUGUUGGUUUCUAACUUUUUUGGAACCAUGGUAUAGUUCAAUAGGAUAAACAUUUCUGUUGCACACCUACUUCUUUUCCUUUUAUUUGACCCUGUCUAGAGAGAUACAUAUUCUUCUAGCCUAACUGAUUUUAGUUGAAAAUAUUUGCAGUAGUUUAAUAAUAUUUAUUUUACUACAAAAAAAUGUAAAAAAAAUUUAAGAGGUGGCCUGAAGCACAUCAAUUUGCCAUGGCUCACUCUAGGGAAAUUCUCCUGUGCUCUCUGCUAGCAUUGUACACUUUCUUAUUUUAUACACAACUCAGCUCUUAGUCCUUUCUCAGUCUUACCCUCUUAGCAAUGUACACAGUGCUCUCUCUUAGUACUCUUUCUAACCUCUCUUAAAAUAUGGACCCUUCUUUGGAAAACAUGUCUCCCCUAAAAGUUAAAAUAUCCCAUAUUGUAGAGGAAGGAUUACUGUUCACUUGUACCCUUUUAAAUAGUGCUCAGUAAAUCCAGCCUCAGGACUCCAGUUCCCAAUGUAGGACAUCACUGGUGAGUAAUCAUGUGGUGAGUUAUCAGAAAAGUUAUGAGAUCUUGAAACAAACAGAUACAAGAUAGGCCCAGCUGUAAAGUGACAUACUUACCACCAUGUUGUUUAAUGACACUAUAUAAUCAUAAAAAAGAGUAAUUCAUUCUAAAAUGACUUUGUAACUGCUCAAAGAGCCGCAUCUUUGGACUAUAAGCUGUUAUAGUGACACUCUGCAUACGCCGUGAUGCUAACCAUUUGUGCAAGUAAGCUGCUAGUUUUUUUUUUUUUUUUAAUCACUGAAUAUAAUAAAGAUGUUUGGGUUCCAUAGAAGUUGUGGCAAUUUAUACUAUUUUGAGACGUGCUACCCUUGAUCUAACAAGCGGCUUUAUUGUGUGGAAUAGAAUUUAAAUGUGAGUUUAUUAGUUUAUAUAGUGUAUUUUGUUUUCUUCAAAAGAAAAAGAUAACUGAUGGAAAUAGAAAAGAUUGGUAUUUUGCUGCUUUUUCCUAUCUCGAAGGUUUAAAGUAGCGCUCCACUUUUCUGGACAUUUUGUUCUAAAAUUGCUUGUCACUGUCAAAAUAAAUGUUGCUCCUCUGUGGAAAGUGAAGGUCUGAAUAGUAAACAGCCUUGAUGCUUCCUUUUACAUCAUACAAUAGUUUAGCAUUUAGAUGACUUAAUUUAUUCCAUCACAGUAGCAAGAAAUUGCUUUCAGUUAGCUUUGCUACUUUUAUACAUGUUUGGUAAGUUAUGCUUUGUUUUAAACUAUGUUAAGAUGAACAUGAUAGCUGUGUUACCUGGUUUGUAAAUAUGAUACAUUUAUAUCUUUAACCAAUUUAAAAAAAAAAAAAAGUGUUUAUGUCUUACUUGUUGCUGUUGAAACUUUUCCUUUUUUUAUGUCACAUACCUUUCGUUUUUUGACCAGAGAAAGACAGACACUUUGAUUUCAAGGGCUGUCUCUUUUGUGUGUGUGUGAUAGCAGACCACUUAUGUAUAAGGAUAGGACUUUAAAGAAAUCUUCCUAUUUUGCCUGUCUUUUUGAUUUAAAUAGGUACUUGUUUUUAGAGAGUUCCUAGCUCUCAGGUCUUAGCACACGCAAAGCACUAAACAACCAGGAUAUCACAUCUUUGUACCUGAAUGCAAUCUAUAAGGGCCAAGGACCAUUAAUACAAAAUCACCUCUAUAGGCUGUCAGACAUUAAAAUAGUAACAAAAAAAAACCUGAUAAUGGCUGUCCAUGAUAGGAAGAUAUCAGAACACACAGUGCAUUGCUGUUUUCUGUAUAUGGGGCUAUACAGUCGCAGCCCAGUUGGAGUACUUAUGAUGACCCCUGUCCACCACAAAAUGUGUCUUCAAUGGUGACGUUAGUGUAAGAACUGGACCAUGGAACAAUGUAAAAAGGUUGCCUGGUCUGAUAAAUCUUUUUAGAUCUUUUAGAUCAGGUGGGUGGCCAUAUGCAUUGUUUACCUCGGGAAGAAAUGUCAGCACAAUGCACUAUGGGAAGAAGGCAAUCUUUAAGUUUGGAUUCCAAUAUUGCUGAAAGGGUAAGGCAGUGGCUGAGUGACAGGCAACAGAGGGUUGUAGUCAAUGGAGUAUAUUCGAAGCUUGGUCUUGUCACCAGUGGGGUACCUCAGGGAUCUGUACUUGGCCCCAUUCUCUUUAAUAUUUUUAUUAGUGAUAUUGCAGAAGGUCUUGAUGGUAAGGUAUGUCUUUUUGCUGAUGAUACUAAGAUAUGUAACAGGGUUGAUGUUCCAGGAGGGAUAAGCCAAAUGGCAAAUGAUUUAGGUAAACUAGAAAAAUGGUCAGAAUUGUGGCAACUGACAUUUAAUGUGGAUAAGUGCAAGAUAAUGCAUCUUGGACGUAAAAACCCAAGGGCAGAGUACAGAAUAUUUGAUAGAGUCCUAACCUCAACAUCUGAGGAAAGGGAUUUAGGGGUGAUUAUUUCUGAUGACUUAAAGGUAGGCAGACAAUGUAAUAGAGCAGCAGGAAAUGCUAGCAGAAUGCUUGGUUGUAUAGGGAGAGGUAUUAGCAGUAGAAAGAGGGAAGUGUUCAUGCCAUUGUACAGAACACCGACGAGACCUCACUUGGAGUAUUGGACGCAGUACUGAAGACCGUAUCAUCAGAAGGAUAUUGAUACCUUAGAGAGGGUUCAGAGAAGGACUACUAAACUGGUUCAUGGAUUUUAGGAUAAAACUUACCAGGAAAGGUUAAAGGAUCUUAACAUGUAUAGCUUGGAGGAAAGACGAGACAGGGGGGAUAUGAUAGAAACAUUUAAGUGCAUAAAGGGAAUCAACACAGUAAAGGAGGAGACUAUAUGUAAAAAAGAAAAACUACCACAACAAGAGGACAUAGUCUUAAAUUAGAGGGACAAAGGUUUAAAAAUAUCAGAAAGUAUUACUUUACUGAGAGGGUAGUGGAUGCAUGGAAUAGCCUUCCAGAUGAAGUGGUAGAGGUUAACACAGUAAAGGAGUUCAAGCAUGCGUGGGAUAGGCAUAAGGCUAUCCUAACUAUCAGAUAAGGCUAGGGACUAAUGAAAGUAUUUCGAAAAUUGGGCAGACUAGAUGGGCCGAAUGGUUCUUAUCUGCCGUCACAUUCUAUGUUUCUCUGAUGGGCAAUGUUUUACUGGGAGACCUUGGGUCCUGGCAUUCACAUGGCUGUUACAUUGACACGUAGUGGUAGCACCUAUAUAGCGAUUGUGCAGACCAUGUGCACCACUUCAUAGCAAUGGUGUUCCCUGAUGGCAGUGGCCUCUUUUAGCAGGAUAAUGCACCCUGCCAGAUUGCAAAAAGUGUUCAGGAAUGGUUAGAGAAACAUUCCAAAGAGUUCAAGGUGUUGUCGUGGCCUCCAAAUUCUACCGAUCUCAAAUGAGCAUCUGUGGGAUGUGCUGGAACAACAAAUCGCACAAAUUGCAGGACUUAUCAUAGUGCCAGAUACCACAUCAUAGCUGUUUUGGCAGCACAAGGAGGGCAAUACGUAAACAAUACUAAGCAGACGGUUUUAAAUUUAUGACUGAUCAAUGUUUAUAUCUAAAUAAUAUAUAGAUACAUAUAUAUAUAUAUAUAUAUAUAUAUUUUACAUACAUACCUAUUUCUAUUUCUACUUUCCUCUAGUAACUAUUCAUUACUAUUCAGUAGAGGGGAUGUCUUCUUUAACUUUUGCAGAAUGAACUCCCCUAUGUUAUUGCUAAAACGGUAAGUGGUAUUGGUCGAGCUGUGAAAGGCAAUCCCAUUUGUUUCUUGCUGCAGGAGAGUGAAUGGGGUUAUAUAAGAGGUGGAAUAGAUCAAGUAAUCUCUCUUCUCAAUUCAGGGAGAUGCAUGCCAGUCUGCUCACAUUACUGCCUAUGGUGUGAUAAACCUACUACACACUUGGUGGUCAUUCAUCCCUUUCACAUGGUUUGAAGGAAGUUGAGAGAAAGAUAAUGGUUAAUAUGAGUCUUGAGAAGGCUCCAGAAGACUUCCGCAUUAUAUAAAUAUCCACUUUUAUAUACUUAUUCAGCAGUUAAAAACUGCUUGACAAAAUCUUAAGGAUCUUUCUGGUACCGCAUCAUUAAAAACCAGGCUCCCUUCUUUGACCAUAUUGCGAACGUGGAAGUUAAAUGUCAACAUAUUAAUAUCAUCCAACCUCUAUUGUGAAGAUUGCCUGAGAGCACUGGGCUAACCAGCUCUGCUAAUCAAUGAUGCACAGACUGCACAAAAGAUGAGGGGGAAAAGAAUUUGACAUUAGAGCAGGGUGUCUAUUUAACCAAAUUUGCAUCUAUAGCCUUUAAUAAAUAAUCUAUUGUAAAUUCAAAGCUUAGAAAUAUAAUUUUAAAAUGUAACUAGUUUUAAUAGAUAUUUUAGAAUUCAGGGCAUUUCUAAUAGUGAACAAAUUGCAUGCAUACUUGACUCCCCCAAGACUCCAGUUGUCAGCAUGUGUAGAUUAUCCUUGUAUCUGCAGUGAAAUAUCACCAUCGUAUCUAUUGAUUUUAUAUGAUAUUUAUAAUUUCACCCGAUUUACCCAAGCUCCCUGGCUUUCGCUACAGAGGCAAUUGUCAGGAAUUGACAAAGGAAUUUCAAACGUUAAGUCCAAAACUGCCAAGAUGGGAAAAUAGCUGAUUUCAUCAUUUUGGCAUAAAUUUGAAAUGUGAUAGUUAAUUUCAGGUCAUUUUCAUUUUAGUAACUAACUAUAUUUAUAUGAUGCAGCAGUUCAUCAGAGUAAAAUAAAAAGAAGGGUUAGUAAUAAAAAAAAGUGCACUCAACUGGAUUUUAGCAAAAACUGUCUAAACUUUAUUUACAUAUCAAAAUAUAACCCUCUUCAAGAUGUAUGCAUGUACCAGGGUCAUUCACUAAAGUGAGAAUUCAAAGUGAAUUUCAAAUUUUAGGCCAAAGUAGCUGACUUAGACAAUGUUUCCAAAUCAGCUAUAUUGUUCUUAAAAUUGAAAUUCACUUUCCAAAAAUAUUUUUUUUAAAUCACUUUGAUUUCACUUUGAAUUCUUACUUUAGUGAAUAACCCUGUAUACAUAUGAAUGGAUGACACACAGAAAUAUAUAGAAGUACACACAGUAUGCAUGUACAUAUAGAACUACAUACAAACAUCAACAGUGCAGACAGUUAUACUGUAGCUGUACUGAGCAUGUUUGAAUACUCCAAUUUACUUAUCUGGUCUAACAUAAGGGAGGGAUAGUAGUGUAUAGCUUUAGUGACUCUGGAUGAAGAUCAUGGUCCUUACAGUAACCCUUUAAUCACCCACAGGAGGCUCCUGUAGGAUUUAGCAGGUAUAGAUUAAAUUAAAGCUCCCUUUACAGGAAAAGUGUAGGGAGUCUGUGCUAGUUACAGGCAGGGGAGGUGUGGCUAGGGCUACAUAAACAAAGUGAUUUAACUCCUGAAUGGCAGAGAAUUCAAAAUUGAGACUGCAUGGACAUGAUCUGUACACCAAAACCACACCAUUAAGCUAAAGUUGUUUGGCGCUUAAAGUAAAUCUUUAGAAAAUGUUUUAGCUAUGUAGAGCGUGCCCUACAGCCUCAUUGCUCAAUACUCUGCUAUUUAGGGGUUUAUGCAGAUAUAUUCACACCUCCUCUGGCUGUAACUCACACAGCCUCCUUACACACUUCCUGAAUAGAGAUAUAAUUUUAAACUUCCUUUAUGCAAUGUGUUUCUUUUAGAAAUUAUGAUCUCCUGCUCUAUUAAUUGCUUGCUAGAACCUGUAGCAGCCAUGUGAGAUUAAAGUUAUAUUAAAGUUCAAUUAGCAGAGCAGGAUAUAAUCACUUUAAAAGUAAACAUACUGUGCUGUAAGAUCAGUUUGUAAAUUAAACUUUUUUUUUCAUGGAGGCUGUGUGAGUCACAUGCAGGGCAGGUGUGGCUAGGACUGCAUAAACAAAGGGAUUGCAUUUCUAAACGUUAGAAUAUGAAACAGUGAGGCAACCCAAGCAUGCUAUUCACACCAAAAACCUCUUUAUUAAGCUAAAGUUGUUUUGGUCCUUAGACUCUCCCUUUAAUUGAUACAAUUCCUGUGGUGCUUCCCUUCCAUACUUGCACCACUUACACCCCACCCCACUACAUAAGUAAAAAUGUUUCCUGAAAAGUUGCAGUCUUUUGGAACUAUUUAUGUAUAAGUAUCGUAUUCAGUGACAUAUACAUCUCCCAUGUUAAAAUUAAUUUAGGACACAGUAUGUGAGUACUUUGACACAGUACUGGACUUAGUAAGGUUUGGCCAUGUGGCGUAUGAAACUAUGGGCUAAAAAUGACCCAUUAAAGAAAAAAGUUAAGAUGCAGCUGUUGGCAGACCCCUCCCUCAUCAAUAACGGACACUCCAGACCCAUUAUUCUCUGCAGCUUGAUGAAGUGAUUUAUGUGUGUAGAGUGUGUCCUCUUUUUUAUUAUACAGUAUUAUACCCCCUGGCAGUCAGUCAGUCAGACAAGAGGUCCUAUUAUUUUCUAGUUGUUUAUCUCAGUGUAGCUAAAUUCAAGAGGCAUACAAUUUCCCAGAUCACCUGCUUUGCAAAAAAGUCUAAUUGAGCUGCAUUGGGAAGUCUGUGAUUGGACAGCCACUAAAAGCUUUAGCUGAAAAAUAAGUGCAAGGGCUUUAGACAAGAGAUCUGCAGCUUUUACAAGCUGGUUUUAAUUAUACGGUUACCUCCAAUGAAAAAAAUGCAUAAUUAAAUGCAUGUAUGUUUUCAUUUGGGGUAUAUAUACUAAACAGUGAAUGUGUUUUAUUUGGGCAGUAGCAUGUCCCUUUAAAAGGGAGACAAGAGAUCUACAUCAUUUGCAAGCAGGUUUUUUACCUAUACCCCCCAUGCAACCAAAAAUGCACUUUUAAAUGCAUGCAUGGUUUCAUUUGGGUACAUAUACUAAACAGUUAUUUUGAUUUAUUUGCAUUUUUCAUUGGAGUGUUUCUUUAAAAUAUAUGAAACUAUUGGUGAUUACCUUUGUGUAAAAAGAGACCGUUUCCGUAGUAUUGCUAAACAUUCUUCAUGAUCUGGGCAGUCAUGGCUCUUUUAUCUGAGCAAAGAAUGAUGUAAAAGCAUUGUACACCCCCCACAUUUACAGAAUUAUUUACUAACACUUUGAAACCUCAAACCUUAGCGAAUAUUACAUUAAUAAAUAAAAAAGACAAAGGCCAGUCUCAAGAGACUCUUUAACAAGCAUAGAAUUCAGAUACUGUUUAACGUGCUUUUUCUUUAUAUUAAUAACAUUCUGUUAAAUGGUUUUCCUUAAUUGGUUUUUCUUAUAUCCAUCUGUUAACUAUCUGAUGUGUAAUAUUGUGUAUUACUUGCUAAUACUUAUGUUGAAGUUACGUACAACUACAUCAGUAUUCUAUUUGAUUUUGCAUUCCCAUAAAGAAAUUAAUUUAAAAAAAUAUCCAAUAUUUAGUGUAUAAAAAGUGUACAAGCAUGCAAAAAUAAAAUCUUGGAAUUCUAAUUUAAAGAUGCAAUUAUAUUGCGUGUUAGUAUGUAAAGUGUUUUGAGUGUCCCUUUAAACAAUCUGCUUAUGAGAUAGCAAACCCACAUACAAAACACUGUAAGCAAAUGAGGCCCAUGACCAAAAGCGUUUUUGCCUUUGGCAAGUGUGUUCAUUUGCUCUCUGCCUGUCUGCACGCUACUUACUGGACGCAUCCAGUUUUCAUUGAUUUAUACAUGGUGUAAAAUUUUCGAUGCCGGAGAGAGCUGCUGGAUUAAUUUCCAUGAAGGGAAUGAAUUGUAAUUAUCUGUCUGUAGUAAGUCCUAGAAUUAACUGUGUAAGCUGACAUGUGAGAGCUACAUAUUGCAUUUUUUAAUGUUAUUUAAAAAGGCAAGGAAAUUAGAAUGAAAAAUAAAUAUUGUUCAAUAUGGUCAGAUUUCUUAAUACAGAAAAUAAAUGAUGGUUCAGGCACUCAAGUUAAAUUCAAAGUGAGUGGGUGUAUUGGAACAGAUGAAAGCAACAUUCGGCUUUGGGCCGAAACUUUGCUUUCAUUUGCUCAAAUAAACCUGCUCGCUUUGGAUUUACUUCGAGUACCUAGACCAGGGGUAGGAAACCUUUUAGCAGCACUGUGCUGAAAUAUGAUUGUGAUGUCCCGUAGCGUGUCAGUCCUAUUUCUUUAAAUUGAGAUGUGCAUGUUGCCAUAUUCUGCUUGUGUUAUUUAUACUGCAGUUGUUUUGUAUCUUUGUAUUUGUGCGUAUAUGAGCUAUUAUAUUGUAUAUGUUCAUUAAUAGUUUGUGGUAUCAUGUAUAAUACCUAUGAAUUUUGGCUGUGUAUGGGGGCUGCUUGUGGAAUUGUGUGUGGAUGGAUAUGUCACAUGUCACAUUGUGUAUUUGGUAGUGUGUGUAUGUGUGGGGCUGUUUGGGGUAUUGCAUGUGAGAGGCUGCAUAUGGGGUUGUGUGUAUGUAUGUGGAUUGUUGGUGGUGUUGUGUUUGUGCAGACUGUAUGUGUGUUUGUGUGUGAGCUGUUUGCAUUAUUUGUAUGAGGGGAGGGUUAUUCUGCAGCUCUGUGUAUAUCUAGCAGUGUGGGAGGCUUCCCUGGGUUUUAGUGGGGACCAGGUUGGCCAGGUACAGCUCAAGGACAGAAGCUGCAAUAGGAAGCUGUGGGCUGCUCUACUCCAGUGUGAAUUCCCAUUCACAAGUGCUGGGAGGAAGUGAUUUGAGAUCACUUCCUCUACGUGCUGCAAUGCAUAAAUGGAGGAUUGUCCUUCACCACCUUUUCGUAUUAGCAGAUAUCUGAAGUUUCACUGGGACUCCUGACAGGCCAGAGCCUGUUUGGCACUUUUAGCCUUGAGUGUCGUGCAAAGGAACCUCGAGUGCCAUGCAUGGCACUAGUGCCGUAGGUUGCCUACCCCUGACCUAGACCAUCAUUUAUUUUCUAAAAAAACUUUGUGAGUAUUGGCUAACCUCAGGCCCGGUUGCACCCCAGGAUCUAUGAGCAUGCAAUAUAUUUUAUGGUUAUUAGAUUCUUUAAUAUCGAAAUCAAUUCUAAAUAAAUCCUAAUGAAUAAAAUGCAAAAUGGACUCAGUCUUUACUUUACUUUUACAUUAGAGUUUAACAGGAACCUUACAUAACUCUAUAGUGACUAGUAUGUAAAUAAUUUUGAAAUAAGUAUCCGAGAGUGUGUCUGCAUGCCUUCAAACCUGUAAAAGUAAGAACCAAAGCAUACUUUUGUUUCUUUUAUCUGUCUCAUUGUCCUAAAAUGGCUUCUGUUUUGCUUCAGAGUAUGCAGUGUUUACACUUCGUGAUUAACCCCUUAAGACCGCAGGGCGUUCUAUGUCGUCCUUAUUUAGAUGGCUCUAAAAGCCGCAGGGCGGCAUAGAACGCCCUGCGAUCUUAUGUACUUACCCGGUCGCCGGCGAUCGUGGUAUGGAGACUCACCUGGGAGCCCAGGGAGUCCCCCUCCGUUCUCUUCGGCCCCCCAUGUGAUCACGAGAUCCUUGCGAUCACAUGGACGGCAUUGCCAGCAGGGGGAAUGCCUGUAAUGACAGGUACUCCCCCCUGCUGCCUGAAAAUAAAAUAAAACAGUUUAAAUCAGUGUAAAAAUAAAUAAUAUAUACUUAGAUCAUAUAUAUACUUAUUAUUUAUAUGAUCUAAGUAUAUAUACACACAUACACAUAUACUGUCUAAGUGUAUUUUAAUAUUAAUAUAUACAUACAUAUAUUAAUAUCAAAAUACACGUACAAUGAUAUUGAUUAAAUAUAUAUAUAACUUUCAUUUUAUAUAUAUAUAUAUAUAUAUAUAUAAUAAAAAUAAAUAUGUAAAUGUGGCGAAAGUGACCUCGCCACUGGUUUUUAGAGGGGCCCGUUUGCCAACCUCCUGCCCUGCGACUAUGGCCCGGGUGUGUGUUGCCCUUUAAGAACAUUAUGGGGGCUUAUGGACUUUUACUGGACUGGUGCUGGCCCUUUAAGCACAUUUUUGGGACAUGGGGAAAAUUGGGACAAUGCUCCUUUAAGACUGUGUCCCCAGACGUGUUUGGGACACUGCCCCUUUAAGCCUGUGUCCCCAGUGUCCCCAGACUUGGUUAAAGUACUUUGUUCAUGGCUUCUUUACACUUGGUUCAGUAAAUGGGGCUUACUGAACCAAGUACCACACAGGCGGACCACCCAGAAGUGGAAGUGUGCAGGCAAUUUACCUCGGCUGGGAGCCUGCUGUAGGUAAAUUGCCGACCGCUGGGUGGCUACCAUUCGCACAAACGAACACAUGGUGGCGGCCAUAUUUGUUCAUUCAUAUGAGGUCAGCGGUAUGUGUAGCCAAAUCCAUGGAACUGAAAUCGGCUACACAUUUCAACGAACGCCGCUGACCUCUACCUUCUCCUGCACUUCGACACUGCAGCUGGAGACUAAGUCCCGUUCGAAGAUUCGAACGCUCGCUUGAAUGGGACUUAGUAAUUUUUUUCAGUGUAAAAUAGACCGACCGCACAGCCCAAAUCCAUGGAACUGUUUUUGGCAUGAAAAUGUGCUUGUGGUUGGUCAUAAAGGACUUCCAGCUAACUUUUGAUCUACUGGACGGACUUUUAUGAUUUUUGAGUAUAUUUAUAUUUGAAGGACACCGAUUUCAAAUAUGUAACUUAUUAAUAUUGCAUGCAUACUUUUAAAGUUAUAAGAAUUGUUUAAAAACUGUAUAUUUUCUGCCUGUGCUAAUUAAGUUAGUCUAUUGUCUUGAGAAAAUUUUAUCACAGGCAGAGGGGAGGAUUUCUGCUGGAAGUGGUUUACUUUAUUGUAUGUAUUGUAAUGUUUUUAUUGGUUGUUCUGAAAAACCCUGUGGGUGGUCCUGUAUGUGUAAGACCUCCAUAAAAGAAGGCCCUUUGGUGCCAAGUAAAACAGAGUUCUUCUUCACCCUCAAUCUAGAGUCCUGUCUCUUAUUGGGGGAAUUUCUAUAUCACUAUAAGGGAUUGCUAUGCUCUGCAUGCUCCCUUGGAUAAUCACUUCUAAGCUCUUUUAAGAGCUUGUUCCUGUCUUGCUCUUGGAAGGAGUCUACGGUGGUUAUGGUGUCGGCUGGAGUGCUUGGAGCCCUCAGGAAGCGCUAGGAGCAUCCUUCAACGGAGGUACUUAUUCGGGGUGCCAGAAGAUCCGUUACAGUAAAUACGUAAAAAAAUAAAAUUAAAAAGAAAUAAAUAAAUAUAUAUAUACAUGUGUAAUUUCGUUCCACUGUAUUAAAAAAAAAAUAUAUAUAUAUAUAUAUAUAUAUAUAUAUAUUGAUAUCAAAAUACAUGUAGAACAAAAUAAUAUAUAUCUAUAUACAUAAGUAUAUAUCUAUAUAUACCUAUAUAUAAAUAAAAAUAAUUUAAAACAGUUAUAUACACACACACACACAUAUAUAUAUAUAUAUAUAUAUAUAUACACACACACAAACACACGUAUAUAUUUAAUAAUUCUACGUAUAUAUUUAUGUAAUAAUUUUACAUAAUUAGGUCAUUUUAAUAAUUACAAUUUGCAGGACCUGCCUGACAACCCAGGCCAAAAGUUCAGGGAAUUUAAUUUGCUAGCACUAUAUUUAACCCUGUAACUUUCCAAGACACCAUAAAACCUGUACAUGGGGGGUACUGUUUUACUCGGAAGACGAUAUUGUCCGUGACGGUGAAAUUUUUUGAAUUUUUCACACACAAAUUGCACUUACACUGAUGAUAUAUUUGUUGUGAUAUCUUUUACUGUUUUGAAACACUAAUAUUUGUGUUCAGCGAAGUCUCCCGAGUAUAACAGUACCCCUCAUGUACAGGUUUUAUGGUGUUUUCCAAAGUUACAGAGUCAAUUAUAAGGCUUGCGUUUCAGUUUUUUCACAUUAAAAUUCGCCAGGUUGGUUACGUUGCCUUUGAGACCGUACGGUAGCCCAGGAAUGAAAAUUAUCCACAUGAUGGCAUACCAUUUGCAAUAGUAGACAACCCAGGGACCAAUUUCAAUGUGAAAGAAAUGAAAAAUGUAACACGCUAUAUUUGACCCUGUAACUUCCCAAAACACCAUAAAACCUGUACAUAGGGGGUACUGUUUUACACGUGAGAUAUCGCUGAAUACAAAUAUGUGUAUUUUAUUGCAGUAAAAGCAAACAGUAUUUUGACAUUCACAGUUAAAAUGUCACGUAGAACUAAGACAAUUUAAAAAAAUCUUAUUUUCUUCCAUUUUUUUUAUAUUUUAUUCAUAUUAAAUUAUGUUCCAUACCUAAAUAUUUGAUGUUAAAUGAAAGCCAUGUUUCUCCUAAAUAAAAUGAUAUAUAAUAAGUGUGGGUGCAUUUAAUAUGAAAGAGGUGAAUUACGGUUGGACUGACAUAUAGCGCAAAUUCCAGGUUUUGUUUACGUUUUGUUUUGAUCACAACUUGUACAUUUGGCUGCAGUCUUAAGGGGUUAAGGACAGCUUUUACAGACUGAAACAUCGACUGGAACGUUGUGUGAAUUUGUAAUUGCUCAAUAAAGCAACAGAUGAAAUUUACCUAGAAAGACUCCUGAGUGCUCUCUACUGGUAUUGUGUAUAUUAUAUUAUAUAUAUAUAUAUAUAUAUAUAUAUAUAUAUAUAUAUAUAUAUAUAUAUAUAUAUAUAUAUAUAUAUAUAUAUAUAUAUAUAUAUACACAUACACACACAUUUUUUUAAAAUAAUUUUUAUUUAUAUAUAGAUAUAUAUAUAUAUAGUGAUAUAUACGUAUAUAGUUAUGUAUAUAAUAAAAAAGUAGAAGCUUGGCACUCUCCUUCUAGAAGUAUAUAGAGAUAUCUUGCCUGGGUGCUCUAUCCUAAACGCCAAAAAUAUACAAAAAUACAAAACCAGGAUGCACUCACAGGUCUUAAUUAAAGUGAAAAAAAAGGUUGUUUUUAUUAUUCCAUAAAAUGUGUACAAAAAAUCAAUCGACGUUUCGACCCUGACGGGUCUUUUUCAAGAUCAAUAAAUACAGAUCAUAAGAGUGUUUAUAUACAAAAUACACCGUAUAACACUUACUAAACAAAGCUGUGAAGUGAGGUGUCUCUGCCCGUUAAAACCCAGAAGUGAAUGGAAGCCGUCCGUGACGUCACGUAAUUCAGACGCACGAUGGAGUAAAGUGGUUACCAUAGUGAUAAUAAACAAACACCGUACCAAUUGGUUGCAAGCCAGAUAACAUGGAGGAGGACCAACAAUAUAUUAUACGAGAAAGUAGUAUAAGAGAAAAUAGUAGUGAUUGCUACUAGAAUAUACAUGAACCUAAAAAAACAGUGAAACAAGUGCAAACCAUGUACAGUGAAUGCAUAUAACGCAAAUGUGGUGAAUAAAAGAUGUGAGGGGUGAUUUAGAAAUAUACCCUAGAACACCUAGUGUUACAAACAUAGCAAGGUCGCAUAAAUAAAUCUGUUCUGCUACUUAUGUUACUAAUCCACAAUAUACAAAAAAACAUAAAUCGUAUAUGAAGUGUAAUAUUCUUAUACAUAGAUAAGACCUGAUCACAGCAAUAAGAGGGAAUAAUAACAUGGUUUAUAGUAAACAAUAAGCUAAUAAGUGACAAAAACAUUGUAUGAUUGCCAAAUUAAUAGUGUAGCAUAAAUACAAUACAAAAAUUCUCCAUAAAAAGGAAACUAAAUCAACUAAAAUAACAAAAAAGAAGAAGCUGCCACAUCUUUAUGCUAUUUGCAUAAAUCCUCAUAUUCUAAGGUUAAUCCAAUACAUUUUAAACAAACGUGGUCAUAUUAUAAAUGGCCAAUACAAGUGCUGGAACAAAAUGAAAAACUGCUAAUUAAAACAUAAUAUAGCUAGUAACCUAGAAUUGUAACCGUUUAUAAGUAAUAACAUAUGUUGACUCAGUACAUCAAAUAUGGAUAAAAUGUUACAAUCCAUAAAUAAUAAAUCUUAGAAAAAUCCUCAUUCAUUGGCAUACGAAGACAACAUAAGGGCCAAGACAACGUCUUAAAGGCAUCAUCUGGUACUAGUGCAAUAUGUAAAAAUGUGGCAAAGCAAAAAGAAGCAUAACUAAAGUAUAUUGAUACAUAUAAAAAAUCCUCAAUAAUGCAUACGAAAACAACUAUAGGGAUAAAGCACCUUCUUAAAGGCAAGACUGUUGUGACAAAGCACGAUACAGCAUAAUCAGUUUACAAAAACAUAGAGUAUACAAUGUUUUCAUUUAAGAACUUAUGUAUGUAGAUAUAUGUAUUAUUUGGUUCUACAUGUAUUUUGAUAUCAAUAUAUUAAUUUUAAAAUACAGUUAGAACGAAUUUACACAUAUAUAUUUAUUUAUUUUUAUUUAAUUUUUUUACGUAUUUACAUAUUUUAUAUAUAUAUAUAAUGACAAUUAUAUAUAUAUAUAUAUAUAUAUAUAUAUAAUCAAUAUUAUUGUACGUGUAUUUUGAUUAUAUAUAUAUAUAUAUAUAUAUAUAUACAUAUAUAUAUAUAUAUAUGAUCUAAGUAUAUAUAAUUGUAUUUUACACUGAUUUUACUUUUAUUUAUUUCAGACAGCAGGGGGAGUAUCUCUCAAUACAGGCACUCACCCUGCUGGCAAUGCCUUGGACGGCUAUGCCGUCCAUGUGAUCGUGAGGUCCUCGCAAGGACCUCGCGAUCACAUGGCCAGGGGUGCCGAAGAGGACAGAGGGGGACUCCCUGGGUUCCCAGGUGAGUCCCCAUACCACAAUCGCCGGCGACUGGGUAAGUACAUAGGACGGAUUGGGCGUUCUAUGCCGCCCUCCGGCGUUUAGAGCCGGUUCUCUAAAGGACGGCAUAGAACGCCCACCCUCCUUAUGGGUUAAUGGAAGCCGAUUGCUCUUUUACUGAGGGUUUCCAUUGACUAUUAUUCUGGUUCAAAAGAGUUCCUUAAAGGGACUCUCCAGUGUCAUGAAAACAAACCCGAUCCUGCAAUACCCUCCUCCUUCUCGCCCCUUAUUUCAUGUCGCUGAAGGGGUUAAAACCCAUUCAGCUACUUACCUGAAUCCAGAGCCGAUGUCCCUCGGUGCUGGGUCAGGCUCCGCCCAUGCUCCUCCUCCACCAACGUCAGCCGACGGGGGAGACUAAAUGUGCAUGCGCGGACAUUAGACCUCCCCAUAGGGGAAAAUCUGAUGCUGGAGGUAAGUGAGGAUGUCCAGCGUCUAAUAACCGACCAAAGGUCGGUUUGGAUUUCGGAAGCCCUCUAGUGGCUGUCUAAGUGCAAGAGAGGCACAGCACCCAGACCACUUUAACGUUUUAAUGACAAUCUCAAGCCCUUUCCCCUCUCUUUUGAAUAAAAGAAAGUCAAGCCAUGUUUUGGUGUUUACCUGUGUCUGUAGCAUGUAUGUCUGUGCCAUAGAAUAUAUAGCUCUGUGUUAACUGUAAGAAUGUUUAUGUACAUAUGUUUGGGUGUAUGUAUUUGUGCAUAUGUAUAACACCUAACCACUUAAAGGACCACUAUAGUGCCAGGAAAACCUAGUUUUCCUGGCACUAUAGUGCCCUGAGGUUGCCCCAACCCUCAUGGCCCCCCUCCUGCCGGGCUGAAGUUGGAGGAAGGGGUUAAACACUUACCUUUCUCCAGCGCCAGGCUCCCUCUGCGCUGGGGACUCUCCUCCCUCUUCGGCUGAAUGCGCAUGCGCGCCAAGUGCCACGCGCGCAUUCCGCCAGUCCAUAGGAAAGCAUUCUCAAUGCUUUACUAUGGACGCUAGCGUCUUCUCAUUGUGAAAAUCACAGUGAGAAGCGCGGAAGCGCCUCUAGCGGCUGUCAAUGAGACAGCCACUAGAGGCUGGAUUAACCCAUAUGUAAACAUAGCAGUUUCUCUGAAACUGCUAUGAUUGCAGCAGAAAGGGUUAAUCCUAGAUGGACCUGGCACCCAGACCACUUCAUUAAGCUGAAGUGGUCUUGGUGGCUAUAGUGGGCCUUUAAUAACUUGUAACAGGCUCACAUUUGUUAAGCCCAUUCUACAUUUAAAGUCUAGAAACACCUCUGCUGAAAAGUCUAGAAAGGAAACAUGUCUGGAGAAACUGCCAACAGUUUGCAACUUAACUGUGAACCAGAUAGGGACAUGAACGUUAAGAAUGAUUUUCUGUGCACAUUUCCAAUAAUAUAUAUAGGCGCUGAGAAGAGCUGAGAAUGUAAUGGUUUUUAAACACAGUACAGUAAAUACUUAGAAAAGAUAUGUUCAGUAAAUGUAAAGCUUAAGAAAGCAUUCAUUUAAAUUUCUCUUGUUUACAAGUAUGUCCUAGGGCUGGGUAGGUGUAGUAGCCCGUUUGGCAUCGAGUAAAUAGGACAUACAAAUACAUUUGUUUACAGAGUUUCACCGAAAGGAUUGCAAACAGGAUUACAAAUGUGGAGUUCAGAUAUCUGCAUACAUCGAUAUUACAUUAAACAUCUGAGGAAUACAAACUAUACAGAGAUUUGGAGCAUAGUACUUUUAUACAAACUUUGGCUUAUAUACAACCUAUCUUUUAACUAACGGCAUGGACACAAUUUAUGCCUAAGAACAUAUACACUGUUAUAAACAUGCACUUUUACAGCGUACCUUGCUCCGCUUGCCAAGGGGUGCAACUUUAAACUUUAGAAAAACCUCANNNNNNNNNNNNNNNNNNNNNNNNNNNNNNNNNNNNNNNNNNNNNNNNNNNNNNNNNNNNNNNNNNNNNNNNNNNNNNNNNNNNNNNNNNNNNNNNNNNNUUAUAUACCACAUACCUCUCCUCCCUGGACCUCUCCCCUGCCGUCCUGCAACGUGUCACUGCUUGCCUUUCUUCCAUCUCUGAUUGUCCUCCUGCUUUUUAAAACUCAAUCUCCUUAUCUUAUUGAACUCCUUAUCUUUCCUCCUUCUAAUACUGAUCCUCCUCUUUCGCUCUCCCUUCAAGUUAGUGUUACCCACAUCAGUCAAUCCUUGCAAGCACGCUGUCUUGGAGUUAUAGUUGAUUAUGGCCUCACAUUUGAGCCUCACAUCCAGUCUGUUACCAAAUCCUGUAGAUUCCACCUUAAAAACAUAGCCCACAUCUGCCCCUUUCUUAUGCAAGAUGCUACUAAGGAGCUUGUCCAUGCUCUAGUAAUCUCUUGCAUGUAUUAUUGUAACUCUCUCCUAAUACGUCUUCCCACAAGUCGUACUGCCCCGCUACAGUCUGUAAUGAAUGCUGCAGCUAGACUGAUUUUCCUCUCCUGUCGCUCCUCUCACACCUCUCCCCUCUGUCAGUAUUUACAUUGGCUUCCUGUAUCCCAUAGGAGUCAAUUCGAGGUACUAACCCCCACCUAUAAAGCACUGACCAAUUCUAGCCUCUCUUAUAUUUCCUUACUGAUCCACAGGUAUGCCCCUUCUCUGUCUCUCUAUAGAAGGGUGAUGUAAGAAAGGAUGGAGAAUUUGAAAGAGGAAGAUAAAAAAGACAUGCGAAGGAGAAUGAAAUGGUUGAUAGGGGGAGCAACCUAUAUAAAUAAUAAAUGGGAGUGUAUCUAUCUGGAGAAACAAUUGAUAUUGACUUCCUUUGGUGGGCCAGGCUUUAUCCCACACAAAUAUCCCACAGGGAAUUCCCUAUAUUUAGAUGAGGGAAUACCACUCUCCAAAUAAAGAUUAUAGAGUCUUAGUGGUGUUUGAAUUCACCAAGUGAGUGCCUCAGAUCUCAUCUAAAGAUUGUUAAGAUCUGUAACAUUCAAUGAGAGGGUGUCAAGUGCAUAAACCCCUACUAUGAUAUUUAGUGAUUGAAAUGCAGAAGAUGAGGCAAGGAGAGCGAACUUAAAAAAAUAUGUUAAUACAGAAGAAGAUGUGUGUGUGUGUGGUGGGUGAAGAAUAAAGUAGAAUGCUACUGGUAUUUAAUUUGGAAAAAAGACAAACAAACAGAGAUAAAAAUUAACCAGUAUUGAUUGUUUAGAAUAACCCCCAUUAAAGGACCACUAUAGGCACCCAGAACAUUUCAGCUUAAUGAGGUGGUCUGGGUGCCUGGUCCAUCUAGGGUUAACCCUUUUCUCUAUAAACAUAGCAGUUUCAGAGAAACUGCUAUGUCUAUAAAUGGGUUAAUCCAGCCUCUAGUUGCUGUCUCAUUGACAGCCGCUAGAGGGCUAUCACGUUUCUCACUGUGAAAAUCACAGUGAGAAGACGCCAGCGUCCAUAGGAAAGCAUUGAGAAUGCUUUCCUAUGGACUGGCUGAAUGCGCGCGUGGCUCCUGCCGCGCAUGCGCAUUCAGCCAAAGAGGAUGAGAAGAGGGAGGAGAGGAGGAGAGCUCCCCGCCCGGCGCUGGAGAAAGAGGUAAGUUUAACCCCUUCCUCCCCCUAGAGCCUGGCGGGAGGGGAUCCCUGAGGGUGGGGGCUAUAGUGCCAGGAAAACAAGUAUAUUUUCCUGGCACUAUAGUGGUCCUUUAAGUCAAAAGACAUGAGAUGGUAAAAAUUACUAAUGAUGUUAUUGAUAAAUUUGAAAUCUUUUGUAAUAUAAGUAAAAAGAUGUGUUUGUGAGAACUGUAUUAUCAUUAAAUAAAAAAUAAAAUAGAUACAAUCAAUAACUGUGGUUAAUAUAGGAAACACUGCAUAGAUAUUUCUAGUUUCAUCAUUGACCUUACAUGCAAAUUGUACCUUGUCAGAGAUUAGAUAUGACAUUGUCAUGAAAUUCCGACUGUGCUGCCUCUAAGCUUCACAUCUGCUUUAUAUGGAAACAUAAGCAGCUCUUGUGUGGUGAGAGAGAAAACACAAGGGUUUGUGUGCAUGCUCGAUGUCUGGAACAGUCACGAGGGCCCGAGCUGAGAGAAGGACUUGACCCAAAUAGUCCAGAGGACACAAUGUAAUUUUACAUAACAGUGCAUUUAUUAAACGUUAUUGAAAAGUCUAGAAUGACUUGGUAUGAUUAAAACAUAUAUUUAAAAAUGGGUAUUCAUUUAAUUGUUAAGAUUAGUUUUUACAUAAAUAUCACUUUUUGUUCCAAAAGUUAAAAUUGUCUAAAAGAACACAUUUACAUUUUUUUUUUUAUUGAAGCAUAAUUGUUUGGAAAUAACAAUAACUUUGAACGUAUGUCGCAUAUAAAAAAUGAGUGCAAAUGAAACUUUACUGGGGAAAAUAAAUAUAGCUUUGUGUGAUUGAUGGUACCUACUUUAUUGCAAAUUAACAAGUAAAAGAUUUCAGUGACGUAUCAGAAUGAUUUCACCCUAAAAUUAAUUUAAGCUUAUUUUGUACCCUUUCCUCUUGGAAACUAGGAGAUACAGAAAAAUGGGUACCCUUUCCUCUUGGAAACUAGGAGAUACAGAAAGACAGACAAACAAACAAAGUAUCAUGUGCCCUUCCAAUGAGAAUAGGGAUCUCUUCAAAUUAAAAUGUAAAUAUAUUUUACUAUUUGCAUUAACUACUGAAUAAUAUAAUGUAAAUAUGACACGUUCUUGGCAGAGCAACUAAUUUAGCAACCAAAAUGUAAUUCAUUAGCCAUCACUAUCUUUGCCUUUAUAGGAAUAUAAAAAAAAGUCUGGAGCUACCUUUCCUCUUAGAGACAAACCCUAACCAUAAACUUCUACACUUUCACACCCCAAACAUGUAAUUACCAUACCUCCCCUGCUUUCUAUAAUCAGUUUUAGGAAGAUAAUAGAUAUAGCCUUAUAAAAAAAUUAUAAACCCUGUUAAAAAGAAUAAUUCCUACUAAACUGCUGAAUUCUUGUGUGAACCUUUUAUGAAUUCUCUUCUUUCAAUAUCUCAAAAAACGAAACAAAAAAAGCUUUCAUAACCAGACACAAAAUAAUACCAAAUAAAAACUGAGAGGGAGCAGAUAUGAUGGUUAAAAGAACAUUCUGGACACAUACAGUUGUAAUCAAGAUUAUUCAACCCCCAUUGAAAAUCAGGUUUAAUGUAAAAAAAAAUGACAGACUUUCAGCUGUUUGCAGUCAAACAUGACACUCAAUAAACCCCUAGCCAGUUCAGGUAUUUUUAAGUGUUCCAGCUCAAGCACAACUGCUGCAACAAAUGACAUCCUUGAUUAGUUGCAUCAGGUGUGCUUGAGGCAACACCUGUUUUGCAUAUUUGUGCUGUUGUUAGGGAUUCUAUUCAGGGGGUUAAAUAAUUUUGAUACUGGAGAAGUCAUUAUAAGUUGCAUUUUCAGGUGAAUUUGGGGAAACCACUUGAAGCAUUUGUCAAGCUAUUUCAAAUGAUUUUGCUUGAUUUGUUCAUUGAAAUUCGCUGAAAGUCUGCACAUUCUGACAACAAACCUGAUUUUCAAUGGGGUUUGAAUAAUUUUGAUUAUUGCUGUAAAGCACUUCAGCUUUCUGAAGUCCUUUAUGUGACUGGAGUCUGUCAUUCUUUUUUGACAGUUUAUAAAAGUGUGAAUGUCAAUAAAAAAUUGCAUUCUUAUAACUGGGGCAGCUACCCAGCUCCCACUCAGACAGGUGUGGAGGACUUUGUUUCAUUUCACAGAGCCAACGGAAGUGGCAAGCGAGCUGGGCUAGAGCACACCUGCCUUACCACCUUCUCAAUCAGCUAUACUACAACUCAUUGAGAAUCCUUGGAAAGCAGAAAAAAAUAAUUGUGAAUCAUGUGCAUUUACUCACAGCUCCAGCAGAGAGGCUUUCCAUACAUACAUGUUUUCUUUGGAUUUAUAUCUACUAAAUAGUUAAACAUUGGAAAAAUAAAAACAAUGGAGUGUUCCUUCAAAUUUGUUUGGAGGGUUGUAGCUAGGGUGCUGUGGUUAACUUUAAAGACCCAUUCAUUAUACCUAAUUGUGGUAGGUAUGUGGAUCUGGGUAUUUGUGUUAUUCACUGAAACACUCAGGUUAUUUUGGGGGUUUGAGGGACACCAUACACAUAUCUGAAUCUUCCCACCAUGAAUAAGGUAGAGUAGAGUAGAGAGCCAUUUAGACCUCUCCUGUUACAGGCUGGGGUCUCAUGGACUGUGAAUAUAAUGUUUAGUUUGCUUAAGGAAACUAUAUUUGCAUUUAUAAUUCACUACAUCCAAUAUGAUUGCUCCUGACAUUGUACAUACUCUGUAAUUACUCCAAAAAAAAAAAGCUAACAGUGGGUAGAAGUGCAACUUUUUCCAACAACAUGUCUCAAUGAGUCAAUAUAAAGAUAAAAUAGAAGGGCAUUAAAAAUUGAUCCUUCGAAUAACUCCACCUAAAAAUACAACAACAAAGAUGAGGUGCUUGAAAUGAGACCUUAUUUAUAUACAUAUUUGCUAUAUGUACUCCUUGUCAUACCAUCACAUCCCUGUAAAUAAUUGGCUUUUGAUUUGAGAAUGAGUCACUACAAACUAUUUUACUAAAAAAGACAUUCUGGUUCUUCAUGCCAUUUUUAUUUCUGUUCUUAUAGUCAAGGCUGUUUUAGUGUGACUUGUUUCAUUUUUGUUAUUGAUUUUACCAUUUAUUUAUUUAUUUAUUCAUUAUUUAUUACUGGUAUUUAAAAAAGCGCCAACAGAUUCCACCGCGAUUUGCAAUUAGUGGAGAACGUACAAUAUACACAGACAAAUGCAAGAAGUAGAGAAAGCUGUGCCCGUAAGCUGAUAACUAGCCAUUGGAGCUCUUUGAAACAAAGUGCUUAGCUAGAUAGCCCGUGAGAUUACAAUCUAGGAAGCAGGGGAAAUUUGGAGGUGACGGCUAAAAGAGUUAGCAGAGAGAAGCAGCUAUUGGUAAAAUGUAAAGGGAGUGAAAAGGUAAUAGAGUGAGAAUCUCAAACAGCUGGAGGAGCAUGCUAUAUAUUUAGGGGGAACCUGGCUGGGUGGAUGGGUGGGAAGUGGUGAGGGUUGUUGGAUUUGCAGCAGGAUGUUAAAUGCAGAGCUCCACUGAGUAUGAGUGUGAGAUGAGGCCUGAAGGACAGAGAUGGAACACUUAUAUGAAGGUAUUUACAGCCGGGAGGAGAAUAGUAAAGAUGGGGAGUAGGGGAGAGGGGAAGGUAGAGUAGCCAUGUGUUAUAUACUAUUGAAAAGUUUAGCAACCAAAUUCUAUCACCCAAAAUAUUAUUAACUUUCUACAUUAAUUAUUGGUCAGAAACAUUAAAUGACAAUAAUGAAAACUGCAUGCACAGAAAAUUACUGUGGCAAACUACAGGUAUAACUGGUAACAAUUCUAUAGUAACACAUGAUAAUAUGGUAGCAAUCCUAGAAUAAAUUUGGUGAAGUAUCUUCCAAGCUUCACUCAAUACCUGAGGGUUGUUGGAUUUGCUACCGGAUGUUAAAUGCAGAGCUCCACUGAGUAUGAGUGAGAUGAGGACUGAGGGUUGUUGGAUUUGCUGCAGGAUGUUAUCUUUUAUUUGAAUGUUUUAAUAUAAUUGUAUAUGUUAGUACUUUUAUUCAUGUAGCUGUUUCUGUCUUGAUCAUUAUUUAUUUUUCAUUUUACAGAGUUGUUUUUUUGCAUUUUGUUUACUACUCAAAGGAAUGUAGACAUUACUAUGUUGAUAACAGCAACCUGUUUUGUGUAAUUUUUCAGAGUGUGCCUUUGAUCCAGC
rnacentral:lncRNA from 1 species